rnacentral:rRNA from 1 species
UACGGGGGGGGCAAGCGUUGUUCGGAAUUACUGGGCGUAAAGGGCUCGUAGGCGGCCAACUAAGUCGGAUGUGAAAUCCCCAGGCUUAACCUGGGAACUGCAUCCGAUACUGGAUGGCUUGAAUCCGGGAGAGGGAUGCAGAAUUCCAGGUGUAGCGGUGAAAUGCGUAGAUAUCUGGAGGAAUACCGGUGGCGAAGGCGGCAUCCUGGACCGACACUGACACUGAGGAGCGAAAGCCAGGGGAGCAAACGGG